UCUUUCUGCCUUUGCCCAGCAUGUGGACUCCCAAUUCGUCCAAGAUAAAAACUCAUUCAACACAACUUGUUAGAACCAUCCACUUCCAAGUUUAGCAUUAACUGUCCCAAAUCUCAGCAGGCCUCACCUACUAAUUCAACCAAAUUACUGUUGUUAGCCUUUUCAGAUUCAGAUCUACCACAAAGAGCAGGUAUAUUCCAAUCAUUACAGCAUUUCACUUAAUUUAUUCUUUUGUGUUCUACUUUUUCUUCUUGUGCCAAAAAAACAGAUCUUUGGGUUUUGGACUUCAUUACCAAUGUUUUCUUCAGUUUAGUCUUAAGAUCCGGUUCAGAAAGGUGAAAACAAAUUGAGGUUGAGUUCUGAUUUGUUCUCUAUUUUUAUUAAUUUAUUUUGGAUUUAGUAUGCGAUUUUGAAGUUGUCUUCAUUUUUCCCCUGGUAUUUAACUUUCUCUAAAAAUAUUGGUCUUUAAAAGACUGAACCCAAUGGGUUAUUUAGAUUUCCAUAAUUUACUAGUAGAAUGAACAAUAAAAUUUGUUACUUACGGUGUGUUGACAUUUUUUUUUGGUUUGAAUGUUCUAAACGCGGUUCUCUUGUAGUAAUAAGCUUCUGAAAAAAUGGGUUCCGACCAAAGAAACAAACGGCCAUAUGUAGAAUAUACAAACUCUGACAAAAAUGUCAAAAGACGUGAUACGUAUAGGCAAAUAUCGCCUGAUAAAAAAUAGGCAAUGUUACUACACCGCCGCACCAAAGAACUUGAGCGAUAAAAAUGGAAUAGUUCCAUAAACUCGGUAGCUGCUCCGGAUAAAAGAGUAAUGUACCAAUGUCACCCUAUGAUUCUAAAACCUAUUUCUCUUACCAUAAGAGAGGCUUCUUCUGCUGACGACCAAGGUUAGACUGAUUUAUUGCUUUUUAUUUACGUUAUAUUAGUGUAGGAGAAGACUAAUAAAUAUUCAUAUUUUACUAAGUCAUACAUUUCUUCUUGCAUUUGCAGGUUGCAGCUCUAUAUAGCUGAGACUGCAUUGCCUGCUCUUUGAUGUCAAUUACUUGACAGUUGACAUCUUUGACUGAGGUCUUAGAAUUCUACUCAUUCCGGGGAAAUUACUCAGUCAACCCAAAGCAAGAUGCCUUAUCAGAUUUGAAGUGCAACAAAGGUCGCUCAAAAUUUUUCCCGAUAGCCUACCGCGGUUGUAAUACUUGCAUUGAAGGCACAUUUUGAUGGUGUUUUACUGCAGUACAUUCUUCCACAUUUUGUGCAAAUAAGUACGUAGAUUUUUAUGAACUGUUUACUACAGUACAACGUCUCACAUUUUGUAUAAAUAGUAAGGCAAACUGACUCUUACCAGGGUAGAUUUUGGUGGUAUUAUUUACUACAGUACAAUCCUCCACAUUUUGUAUAAAUAACUACACAGGUUUUCAUGAACUA